AGUUGUCUGGGUUAUUGGUGAUUUAGCUACAAUCUUGAGCCGAUACUACUUAGAAUAGGGAGUCUUGGUAUCCCAACUAGAGAGCAAGCUUUGGUGCCUAGCACUUACAAAGAAGCCCAACGUUGAGAUUAUGACACCCACUUGAUACCAAAUGGGAUCAAGAAUAUUGGGCUAAAACGGUACUCCGGACAACUA
rnacentral:other from 2 species